rnacentral:rRNA from 1 species
UUGAAAGGGAAACGAUUGAAGUCAGUCGUACCAGCGGAUAAUCAACCUUUAGAUGCGAUUUUAUGGAGCGUGAGGAGUUAAUCGCCUUCAUGCCUGUAUAUUUGUGUACCUGGGGUGUACUUAUUCGUGUGGUAAGUUAACAUCAAUUUUGGUCGUCAUAAAAUGAUUAGAGGAAUGUAGCUUCGAUCUUGUAUUGAAGUGUUAUAGCCUUCGGUAGAUGUGAUAAUCGAGAUUGAGGAUUGCAACGGAUACCCUUCGGGGCUACCUGUCUGAUCUCUGAUCGUUGCUCUGGUGCCGAAAGCUUGCUUACGGUUAUCAAAGUCGAUGGUCAAUAGGUUAGAACGGGUUAAAUUCGUUAAGGAUGUUGACGUAAUGGCUUUAAACGACCCGUCUUGAAACACGGACCA